AGGCGAGGGCGACCUGGCCGGGCGUGGCGCCCUUGCUCUGGGCGAGGGUCGCGACGUGGUCCACGAGAGCCUGGUUCGCCACCCGGUUCGCCGC
rnacentral:tRNA from 1 species